ACUCCAUUAGGACUCUGGCAACUGUAGUGACAGAAUCGGGAGACAUUGGCAAGAUGAUGGUGACCGAACCUUCUGAAGAAGAGACAAUUGGAGAGGUACUGAUAAUUGGAGAGCCAGGCCAGUCAUCUUCACACUGCCCAUGGGAUGUCAAGAAAACUCUCUCCGGCCUUGCCAGUCUAGUCUGAACUCCACUUUUCCUCCUUUUUUGGAAAAGGACGACCUUUUCUCCCCUUCCAGCUUUCUGUAAUUCCAUCUAGCAAAAUUAAACAUGGUUUGUCAAAAUCCAGA